GUUGCUCAGCUUGUUUUCUCCUCCCAGAGUCAGCAUCACGUCGACGAAGUCCCGGGGAUUUUCUGGAUCGAAGUCUUUCGCGUGCUCCUCGAUGACUGCUUCCAGAAAGCGAGAUCUUGCUGGUAGGACUUCAUUCUCGAGUCGUUUUUGCGUCCCUCUGAGCGUGUCCAGCCAUCGCAUCGCAGGGAUGUAAUCACCGGCAAUCAGCCUCCUGGAUUCUUUCGCUUGGAUCGCCCACGACGCCUUGUAGGCUUCGGCCUCGGGAGUGAGCGGCGUGUCGGUGCCGUAGAACUUCCUCCCGAACAACACGCACGUCAUGAGGUUGGUGAAGAACUCGUGCAGCAUGGAGCUGAGAUCAAACUCGUGCCCGUCUUUUGCAGACGCCUCGACGAUCUCUCCAAACGCUCCCAGCUCCCUCUUGCGAGUGCUGGCAAAGUGGCUCACCUUGGAGGCCGUGAAGAGCUCUGUGCCGCACACUCGCC
rnacentral:lncRNA from 1 species